CCUACGGGAGACUGCAGUGGGGGAUAUUGCACAAUGGGGGAAACCCUGAUGCAGCAACGCCGCGUGAGUGAAGAAGUAUUUCGGUAUGUAAAGCUCUAUCAGCAGGGAAGAGAAUGACGGUACCUGACUCAGAAUCCCCGGCCAACUACGCGCCAGCAGCCGCGGUCAUACGUAGGGGGCGAGCGUUAUCCGGAUUUACUGGGUGUAACGGGAGCGUAGACGGCUGGUCAAGUCUGAAGUGAAAGCCCGGGGCUUAACCCCGGAACGGCUUUUGAAACUGAGAAGCUAGAGUGCUGGAGAGGUAAGCGGAAUUCCUAGUGUAGCGGUGAAAUGCGUAGAUAUUAGGAGGAACACCAGUGGCGAAGGCGGCUUACUGGACAGUAACUGACGUUGAGGCUCGAAAGCGUGGGGAGCAAACAGGAUUAGAUACCCCAGUAGUC
rnacentral:rRNA from 1 species